UAAAAAACUGAAUAAAUAUAGAUUUACACACAUUUACUCAAGUAAAUAAACAGAAUUAAAAAUGGGCUAAAAAUCAGCGGAAUUCUGUGUGCGUAGAUUCCGGGUUUGUCUACUGAUAUUAUAAUUAUGUAAUGUAUAUGCAUAUUUCCACCUGCGUAAUAUUACUUGUCUCCACCCUUCUAUCACAACCAAUAACACAACAUUUCUCAUCCAUGCAUUAGUUACUUCACCACUUGACUGCUGUAAUGUACUUCUCUCUGGGCUUCCUUCUAAACUUCUCCAAAAAACUCCAACUGGUUCAGAGCCAUGCAGCUCGUUUCAUUUCUAGGACUUUAUCUCAUGAGCACAUCACACCACUUCUUUAUCAGCUUCACUGGCUUCUGAUCAGCCAACUCUUUCUCCCUGGUGCCACCUCGCAUUCGAUUAAGCACAAUGGGUGCUAGAUCUUUUAGCUCCUUGGCUCCUCGGAUAUGGAACUUCUUUCCCCUGAAUCUAAGGAGCAGUGAUAGUCUUCACACAUCUUUCAGUCAGUCAGGCUUUCUGACUUUUUUUUAUCAUGUUAUUUUUCACUUGCGAUGUGUUUGUACCUGCAACUCCUUAUAAGCAUUUAAAAUCUUGUUUGGCAACUUUUUAUUAAUUGUUUUAAUUUGUUCUGUUAUGGCUGUCGAUGCUUGUUGUAAAGUGACUCUGGGUGUCCAGAAAGGCGCCAUUUACAAAUAAAAUGAAUUAUCAUUUUA